AAUAAAGAAAGAGUUUGUGUUGCUACUCAAGUGGAGGGUGGGCCAUGCCCCACACUGAACCACAAAUGAAAACUAGGUUGGGGCAAAUUUUCCUUUCUUGGGCGCUCACAUCUGCCCCGUGAAAUGCUCUGAUCUGGCUCCAGGGGAGGGGGGCUAUAAAAACCAUCAGAAGGCAGAAUGUUAUCUGACGGGACUACUGUCACAAUUCACAACAUUUUCACUCAAAGGAAAUAGAUGGUCUCAUUGUUCAAAACCCUGCUUUGCCAGGGGUUACUUGGAGGUAACUUUGGAGAAAGUCAUUGUGACCAGAAACCACGCAAGGAAAGGGUUAAUGAAAAUCUGAUCCAUAACUAAACAUAGUCUGUCAAAUGUUUUCCAGACAAGGAGGAAACUAAACGUGCUAUUUUUCAGAAGAUGAUGUCCUGGUUUUUGUAGAUGUUGCCAUCCUACAGAGAAACUUACACAGUUGCAGCAGGAUCCCUGCAAACUGCCCCAGCUCUAAAUGGCAUGUUGCAUUGAACCUGCUAUGUAAUGAUGCAUUGAACUUGUUAUGUAAUGGCCCACCUGUCAUGUGCCCUAAUCAGGCCCAGUUGUUACACAGUUGUAACAUGUCCUCUGCACUCUGGUAUAUAAACCUUUUACUUGCAGUAAGCUGGCGGGGAGUGGGGCACAUGGGCAGGCAAGCAGUGGGGCACUGCUUCAGGAGCUAGGGGUUCUUCAUUGCUUGUGAUAAACCAUUCUUCUUCACUCACUUCAGCAUUGGUUGUGCUUUUCAGCUCCGCACUCACCAAGAGACAGACCCAUUGUGUUCGGUUCAUCAUCACAGCUUAGUUCAUAAUGCCAGCUUCCUGACAUACAGGAAAGAACCAUCAAAGAAGCCUUUACACAGAUUUAUCAUGAUAAACAGAAAGCACACAUUUUUGUUUAAAUCUACCUUGAACUCAGCAUAGGAUAAAAUGCUUUAUCAAGACAGUGUAAUGCUACAAUUAUCUUAGUAGCCACAGAAAGCAGCACUCUUCCAAGUUAGUAUUUCUUGCUGACUAUUGCUGUGAUACUGUGUUCAAGAUCAUAAUGGUAAAUGAUGCAGCCCUGAAACAUAAUGGGAUAGCAGCAACCAGAGUACCUGUUACAAAUGUAGCAAAUUUGAGAGCCACAGGAAGAGGAAAGGAGUAGUGGCUCACUUUUGAUUCUUUAAACAAGAUACAGCAUUCUAGCCCUGAGCAUCAGUCAGGAUGACACCUCUGCUUUUGCUACUAGGGGAAUGUCUACAGCCCCUGAAACUCAAGGAGAGUUGGAGAUGGGAUGAGGUCUCUCAAACUUCUUUACCCACAACAAAGAAGAAUACUAAAGAAUAUCCUUCACAAUGGAAUGCCCUUUUCAGAAAGCAUAUGGUAGUGGGAAAAAAAUGGGGCUGUAAAGCUACCUACAUUAGACAAUCUUGGACAAGUUA